rnacentral:rRNA from 1 species
CCUACGGGUGGCAGCAGUGAGGAAUAUUGGUCAAUGGGCGCAAGCCUGAACCAGCCAUGCAGCGUGAAGGAUGACUGCCCUACGAGUUGUAAACUGCUUUUGUACGGGAGUAAACUGAGGCACGUGUACCGUUUUGUAUGUACCUUAUGAAUAAGGAUAGGCUAACUCCGUGCCAGCAGCCGCAGUAAUACGGAGGGUGCAAGCGUUCUCCGGAUUUAUUGGGCUUAAAGGGAACGUAGAUGGGUUGUUAAGUCAGUUGCGAAAGCUUACGGCUCAACCGGAGAAGUGCAAUUGAUACUGGCAGACUUGAGUGCAGUUGAGGUAGGUGGAACUCGUGGUGUAGCGGUGAAAUGCUUAGAUAUCAGGAAGAACUCCGAUUGCGAAGGCAGCUCACUAGACUGUCACUGACGUUGAGGUUCGAAAGCGUGGGUAUCAAACAGGAUUAGAUACCCUUGUAGUC